AGUAACACGUGAGUAACCUGCCCCCUUCUUCGGGAUAACGUUUGGAAACAGAUGCUAAUACCGGGUAUUUACCUCAUGUCGCAUGGUGUGGGGUGGAAAGGUUUUUUCUGGUGGGGGAUGGGCUCGCGGCCUAUCAGCUUGUUGGUGGGGUGAUGGCCUACCAAGGCUUUGACGGGUAACCGGCCUGAGAGGGUGACCGGUCACAUUGGGACUGAGAUACGGCCCAGACUCCUACGGGAGGCAGCAGUGGGGAAUUUUGCACAAUGGGCGAAAGCCUGAUGCAGCGACGCCGCGUGAGGGAUGACGGCCUUCGGGUUGUAAACCUCUUUCGCUCAUGGUCAAGGCUAGUUUUUGUUCUAGUUGAGGGUAGUGGGUAAAGAAGCGCCGGCUAACUACGUGCCAGCAGCCGCGGUAAUACGUAGGGCGCGAGCGUUGUCCGGAAUUAUUGGGCGUAAAGGGCUUGUAGGCGGCUUGUCGCGUCUGCCGUGAAAUCCUGGGGCUUAACCUUGGGCUUGCGGUGGGUACGGGCUGGCUUGAGUGCGGUAGGGGAGACUGGAAUUCCUGGUGUAGCGGUGGAAUG
rnacentral:rRNA from 1 species